UACGUAGGGGACGAGCGUUGUCCGGAAUUAUUGGGCGUAAAGAGCGUGUAGGCGGCUCUGCAAGUCCUGCGUGAAAUCUCGAGGCUCAACCUCGAGCGGUCGUGGGAAACUGGAGGGCUAGAGUGUGGGAGAGGGAAGUGGAAUUCCAGGUGUAGCGGUGAAAUGCGCAGAUAUCUGGAAGAACACCCGUGGCGAAGGCGGCUUCCUGAAACGACACUGACGCUGAGACGCGAAAGCGUGGGGAGCAAACAGG
rnacentral:rRNA from 1 species